CCUACGGGAGGCAGCAGUGGGGAAUAUUGGGCAAUGGGCGCAAGCCUGACCCAGCAACGCCGCGUGAAGGAAGAAGGCUUUCGGGUUGUAAACUUCUUUUCUCAGGGACGAAGAAAGUGACGGUACCUGAGGAAUAAGCCACGGCUAACUACGUGCAAGCAGCCGCGGUAAUACGUAGGUGGCAAGCGUUAUCCGGAUUUACUGGGUGUAAAGGGCGUGUAGGCGGGGAAGCAAGUCAGAUGUGAAAACCACGGGCUCAACCUGUGGCGUGCAUGUGAAACUGUUUUUCUUGAGUACUGGAGAGGAAGACGGAAUUCAUGGUGGAGCGGUGAAAUGCGUAGAGAUUAGGAGGAACACCAGUGGCGAAGGCGGUCUGCUGGACAGCAACUGACGCUGAGGCGCGAAAGCGUGGGGAGCAAACAGGAUUAGAUACCCCUGUAGUC
rnacentral:rRNA from 1 species